rnacentral:rRNA from 1 species
GAUGAACGCCGGCGGCGUGUCUAAUACAUGCAAGUCGAGCGAACAGACCAGGAGCUUGCUCCUCUCACGUUAGCGGCUGACGGGUGAGUAACACCUGGAUCACCUACCUAUAAUACUGGGAUAACUUCGCGAAACCGAAGCUAAUACCGUCUAAUCUAUUGCACCACAUGGUUCAAUAGUGAAAGACUGUUUUGCUAUCACUUAUAGAUGGAUCCUCGCCGCAUUAUCUAGUUGGUAAGGUAACGGCUUACCAAGGCAACGAUGCGUAGCCGACCUGAGAGGGUGAUCGGCCACACCGGAACUGAGCCACGGUCCAGACUCCUCCGGGAGGCAGCAGUAGGGAAUCUUCCGCAAUGGGCGAAAGCCUGACGGAGCAACGCAGCGUGAGUGAUGAAGGUCUUCGGAUCGUAAAACUCUGUUAUUCGGGAAGAACAAAUGUGUAAGUAACUAUGCACGUCUUGACGGUACCUAAUCAGAAAGCCACGGCUAACUACGUG